UAGGGAAUCUUCCACAAUGGGCGCAAGCCUGAUGGAGCAACACCGCGUGAGUGAAGAAGGGUUUCGGCUCGUAAAGCUCUGUUGUUAGAGAAGAAUGACAUUGAGAGUAACUGUUCAAUGUGUGACGGUAUCUUACCAGAAAGGAACGGCUAAAUACGUACCAG
rnacentral:rRNA from 1 species